UACGGGGGGAGCAAGCGUUGUUCGGAUUUACUGGGCGUAAAGGGCGCGUAGGCGGCCACCGCAAGUCAGUUGUGAAAUCUCUGGGCUUAACCCAGAAAGGUCAACUGAUACUGCGGGGCUAGAGUGCAGAAGGGGCAACUGGAAUUCUCGGUGUAGCGGUGAAAUGCGUAGAUAUCGAGAGGAACACCUGCGGCGAAGGCGGGUUGCUGGGCUGACACUGACGCUGAUGCGCGAAAGCUAGGGGAGCGAACGGG
rnacentral:rRNA from 1 species